rnacentral:rRNA from 1 species
GACGAACGCUGGCGGCGUGCUUAACACAUGCAAGUCGAACGGAAAGGCCCUGCUUUUGUGGGGUGCUCGAGGGGCGAACGGGUGAGUAACACGUGAGUAACCUGCCCUUGACUUUGGGAUAACUUCAGGAAACUGGGGCUAAUACCGGAUAGGAGCUCCUGCUGCAUGGUGGGGGUUGGACAGUUUCGGCGGUUGGGGAUGGACUCGCGGCUUAUCAGCUUGUUGGUGGGGUAGUGGCCUACCAAGGCUUUGACGGGUAGCCGGCCUGGGCGGGUGGCCGGCCACAUUGGGACUGAGGUACGGCCCAGACUCCUACGGGAGGCAGCAGGGGGGAAUAUUGCACAAUGGGCGGAAGCCUGAUGCAGCAACGCCGCGUGCGGGAUGACGGCCUGCGGGUUGUAAACCGCUUUCGCCUGUGACGAAGCGGGAGUGACGGUAAUGGGUAAAGAAGCACCGGCUAACUACGUG